GUUUGUGGAAGGAAGCCAAGCGAGGGGGUGUUUGCAAUUGUUUUACAAAGACUACGAGGGACAGAGCUCCUUAAACCAGGUCUGUGAGGUUGAGAAGGUCUCCACAGUCUGGAGUCUGGUCUCUGAGAAGCUCAACAUACCUGUCAAUCAACAGGGACUCCUCUACAAAGGCAAGGCGCUGGCAGGAUUACGAGCAGAGCCUGCGCUUGUUGAGUCUGGAUGAUAUGGAGCAGCUGGCGACCCACAUGCUUCACCCUGAGGCUGUGGAGUGCAUGGAGCUGUCCCUCCUGGACUGAGGAAUACUGCUGCUGCCCGCUGCC